CCUACGGGUGGCAGCAGUGAGGAAUAUUUGUCAAUGGAGGAAACUCUGACCCAGCAACGCCGCGUGAAUGAUGAAGGUCUUCGGAUUGUAAAGUUCUUUUCUAAGGGAAGAAGAAAGUGACGGUACCUUAGGAAUAAGCCUCGGCUAACUACGUGCCAGCAGCCGCGGUAAUACGUAGGAGGCAAGCGUUAUCCGGAAUGACUGGGCGUAAAGGGUGCGUAGGUGGUUUGAUAAGUUGGUAGCGUAACUCCGAGGCUCAACCUCGGCACUACUACCAAAACUGUCGGACUUGAGUGCAGGAGGGGCAACUGGAAUUCCUAGUGUAGCGGUGGAAUGCGGAGAUAUUAGGAGGAACACCAGUGGCGAAGGCGAGUUGCUGGACUGUAACUGACACUGAGGCACGAAAGCGUGGGGAGCAAACAGGAUUAGAUACCCGGGUAGUC
rnacentral:rRNA from 1 species